UUUUAGUGGCGGACGGGCGAGUAACGCGUGGGUAACCUGCCUCACACUGGGGGAUAACACUUAGAAAUAGGUGCUAAUACCGCAUAAGCGCACGGGACUGCAUGGUCUUGUGUGAAAAACUCCGGUGGUGUGAGAUGGACCCGCGUCUGAUUAGCUGGUUGGCGGGGUAACGGCCCACCAAGGCGACGAUCAGUAGCCGGCCUGAGAGGGUGGACGGCCACAUUGGGACUGAGACACGGCCCAAACUCCUACGGGAGGCAGCAG
rnacentral:rRNA from 1 species